GGGAAUCUUCCACAAUGGGCGAAAGCCUGAUGGAGCAACGCCGCGUGUGUGAUGAAGGCUUUCGGGUCGUAAAGCACUGUUGUAUGGGAAGAACAGCUAGAAUAGGGAAUGAUUUUAGUGUGACGGUACCAUACCAGAAAGGGACGGCUAAAUACGUGCCAGCAGCCGCGGUAAUAA
rnacentral:rRNA from 1 species